ACUUACCAAGAAGGUGCGUAAGGAAACUCCCCAGGGGAACGGUAAAGGUCUAAGGGUCAUAGUUUGGUUUGGUUACAUAGUUGUAUGCCUAGGUCUGAACUCAUGGAUUGCUACACCGGAGAUCUGCACAUUUCAUUGCACGUAAAAUCUAUUUCAAAAGGGGGGAAAAAAGGAACCAGCAGCAAAUAGUGAAUUCUAAUGAUACGCUUGGUGGAGUGUUUAAGGAGGAAAUGUACUUACAUCUGCAACUCACUUGGAAAUGCAUGGAAAGAUGACACGUCAAACAUCGUCUUAACUUAGACUCAGCAUCUGCUGUGAGUGACUGACAUCUGCUGGGCUGGCCUCCGGCCCCAGGUCCACCUGGCUGGGUUGGCAGCCCCAGAUCGUGUCCCACACCAUCUCACAUGCAGCAGCCCAAGUGCCCCAGAGCUUUCCUGCUUGGGUCUGGGCUUCUUCCCAACGUUCCAUGAGCCCUCCCACUGGGGAAAAACUGAUGGAAACUGCCCCGUGACCCCUUUGCUUCCAGUAGGCCAUGUUUUCUGCAAGAAAGAUGUUCCAGAAGAGCUCUGUCCAAACUGAAUGUUUGUAGAUUGAAUCCCAUUUAGAAUACAUUAGAAUAAUUAGCUAAUGACACAACAGCA